GGGUAGGGGUGAAAGGCCAAUCAAACUCCGUGAUAGCUGGUUCUCCCCGAAAUGCAUUUAGGUGCAGCGUCGCGUGGUGGAUGCCGGAGGUAGAGCACUGGAUGGGCUAGGGGGCCGACAAGCUUACUGAACUCAACCAAACUCCGAAUGCCGGUAUUUCUAGCGUGGCAGUGAGACUGUGGGGGAUAAGCUUCAUAGUCGAGAGGGAAACAGCCCAGAUCACCGGCUAAGGCCCCUAAGCGUGCGCUAAGUGGGAAAGGAUGUGGGAUCGCCCAGACAACCAGGAGGUUGGCUUAGAAGCAGCCAUCCUUGAAAGAGUGCGUAAUAGCUCACUGGUCAAGUGGUCCUGCGCCGACAAUGUAGCGGGGCUCAAGCGCACCGCCGAAGCCGUGGCAUUCCAGCAGAGAUCCGCCGGCCGGGGUUGUGGCCCUGGUGGGUGUAGUCGUUGGGAUGGGUAGGGGAGCGUCGUGCAUCCGGUGAAGCCGCGGGGUGACCCAGUGGUGGAGGGUGUGCGAGUGAGAAUGCAGGCAUGAGUAGCGAAAGCAGAGUGAGAACCUCUGCCGCCGAAUGACCAAGGGUUCCUGGGCCAGGUUAAUCCGCCCAGGGUGAGCCGGGACCUAAGGCGAGGCCGACAGGCGUAGUCGAUGGACAACGGGUUGAUAUUCCCGUGCCCGUGGCAGUGCGCCCGUGAUGAGGCCGGUGAUGCUGACCAUCCGAACCCGCGUGCCGACCUUCGGGUGGGUGCGUCGGGGGAGCGUGGGACCCGAUCCGGUAGUAGUCAAGCGAUGGGGUGACGCAGGAGGGUAGUCCCGCCAGUGAAUGGUAGUACUGGUGUAAGCCGGUAGCCCGACAUCCAGGCAAAUCCGGGUGUCAUGUAAGGGUGAGAGGCGAUGCAUAGCCGAGUGCGGCGAAGUAGGAUGAUCCCAUGCUGCCGAGAAAAGCCUCUAGCGAGUGCUGUUGCGGCCCGUACCCCAAACCGACACAGGUGGUCAGGUAGAGAAUACCGAGGCGAUCGAGUGAACUGUGGUUAAGGAACUCGGCAAAAUACCUCCGUAACUUCGGGAGAAGGAGGGCCAUCGCGCUUGAAGCCCUGCGCGGGCUAGGGCGGGGUGGCCGCAGAGACCAGGCCCAAGCGACUGUUUACUAAAAACACAGGUCCGUGCGAAGUCGCAAGACGAUGUAUACGGACUGACGCCUGCCCGGUGCUGGAACGUUAAGAGGACCUGUUAGCUGGUUUCGGCCGGCGAAGCGGAGAAUUUAAGCGCCAGUAAACGGCGGUGGUAACUAUAACCAUCCUAAGGUAGCGAAAUUCCUUGUCGGGUAAGUUCCGACCUGCACGAAUGGCGUAACGACUUGGGCGCUGUCUCGACCACAGACUCGGCGAAAUUGCACUACGAGUAAAGAUGCUCGUUACGCGCGGCAGGACGGAAAGACCCCGGGACCUUUACUACAGCUUGGUAUUGGUGCUCGGUUCGGCUUGUGUAGGAUAGGUGGGAGACUGGGAAGCGGCCACGCCAGUGGUUGUGGAGUCGUCGUUGAAAUACCACUCUGGUCGAAUUGGGUGUCUCAACCUCGGGCCAUGAUCUGGUUCAGGGACAGUGCCUGGUGGGUAGUUUAACUGGGGCGGUUGCCUCCCAAAAUGUAACGGAGGCGCCCAAAGGUUCCCUCAGCCUGGUUGGCAAUCAGGUGUUGAGUGUAAGUGCACAAGGGAGCUUGACUGUGAGACAGACAUGUCGAGCAGGGACGAAAGUCGGGACUAGUGAUCCGGCACCGCCUGGUGGAAGGGGUGUCGCUCAACGGAUAAAAGGUACCCCGGGG
rnacentral:rRNA from 1 species